rnacentral:rRNA from 1 species
UACGUAGGGGGCUAGCGUUGUCCGGAAUCAUUGGGCGUAAAGAGCGCGUAGGCGGCCAGAUAAGUCCGGUGUGAAAGUCAAAGGCUCAACCUUUGAAUGCCGCUGGAAACUGUCUGGCUAGAGUCCGGAAGGGGCGAGUGGAAUUCCUGGUGUAGCGGUGAAAUGCGCAGAUAUCAGGAGGAACACCAGCGGCGAAGGCGGCGCUCUGGGCCGGUACUGACACUGAGGAGCGAAAGCGUGGGUAGCAAACAGG